rnacentral:rRNA from 1 species
CACGUAGGUGGCAAGCGUUAUCCGGAAUUACUGGGUUUAAAGGGUGCGUAGGCGGCCAUGUAAGUCAGGAGUGAAAGUUUGCGGCUCAACCGUAAAAUUGCUUUUGAUACUGCAUGGCUGGAAUCAGGAUGAGGUCAGCGGAAUGUGGCAUGUAGCGGUGAAAUGCAUAGAUAUGCCAUAGAACACCAAUUGCGAAGGCAGCUGGCUAGACCUGUAUUGACGCUGAGGCACGAAAGCGUGGGGAGCGAACAGG